UACAGAGGGUGCGAGCGUUGUUCGGAAUUAUUGGGCGUAAAGCGCUUGUAGGCGGCUUGUUAAGUUCCGUGUGAAAUCCCCAGGCUUAACCUGGGAAGUGCGCGGAAAACUGGCGAGCUUGAGUGCCGGAGAGGGUCGCGGAAUUCCCGGUGUAGAGGUGAAAUUCGUAGAUAUCGGGAAGGAACACCAGUGGCGAAGGCGGCGACCUGGACGGACACGUGACGCCGAG
rnacentral:rRNA from 1 species